rnacentral:misc_RNA from 1 species
UAUAUUCAGAGUACUAGAUCAUUAUAUUUAAAUGAACAAAUCAUAAACAAAUUUCAUCAAGGUCACACUUGCUUUUGGCAUGUUAGUUAGGUCACACAACAGAGAAAAAAACAAUAGUAAAAAGAGCUUUUCUUCUUUUCUUUAUAAUUUAAGUUUGGUGGACAAAGAAAAGCACAGGCAGCACCUCAACAAAAAUAAAACAAAGAUAAUGAUAAAACAACGUGUCAUGAGAGCAGCAGCUUAGC